UCGACCUCAAAUCAGGUAGGACUACCCGCUGAACUUAAGCAUAUCAAUAAGCGGAGGAAAAAAAACCAACAGGGAUUGCCUUAAUAGCGGCGAGUGAAGCGGCAAAAGCUCAAAUUUGAAAUCUGGCACUUUCAGUGUCCGAGUUGUAAUUUGAAAAA
rnacentral:rRNA from 1 species